rnacentral:tRNA from 1 species
CAUUAGAUAGCUUAAAGUAAGCAAUGGUCUCUUAAACCAUAAAAUAGUAAAUUAACGAAUACUUCUAAUG